UACGUAGGGUGCAAGCGUUGUCCGGAAUUAUUGGGCGUAAAGAGCUCGUAGGCGGUUCGUCGCGUCGGCUGUGAAAUCCCCGAGGCUCAACCUCGGGUCUGCAGUCGAUACGGGGCGGACUGGAGUUCGGCAGGGGAGACUGGAAUUCCUGGUGUAGCGGUGAAAUGCGCAGAUAUCAGGAGGAACACCGGUGGCGAAGGCGGGUCUCUGGGCCGAUACUGACGUGGAGGAGCGAAAAGCGUGGGGAGCAACG
rnacentral:rRNA from 1 species